CCUAGUUGAUCUUGCCAUUAGUCAUAUACUUGUCUUAAAGAUUAAGCCAUGCAUGUGUAAGUAUGAACUAAUUUAGAUUAUGAAACUACGAAUGGCUCAUUAAAUCAAUUAUUAUUUGUUUGAUGGUAUUUACUACUCGGAUAACCAUAGUAAUUUUGAGUUAAUGUGUGCAAUAAACCUAAACUUUUAGAAGGGAUGCAUUUAUUAGAUAAAUGUCGAUACAGGCUUUGCUUGUUGCUCUAAUGAUUCAUGAUAACUUGAUGAAUCACAUGGCCUUUAUGCCGAUGACGUAUCAUUCAAAUUUUUACAGUAUCAACUUUUAAAGGUAAGAUUGUGGCCUAUUAUGGUGGUGACAGACAAUGGGGAAUUAGGGUUUGAUUCUGGAGAGAGAGCCUAAGAAAGGACUACCACAUCCAAAGAAGGAAACAGGCAUGCAAAUUACCCAAUCCUGACAUGGAAAGGUAGUAAUAAUAAAUAACAAUACUGGACUUUAUAAGUCUAGUAAUUGGAAUGAGUACAAUCUAAAUCCCUUAACAAAGAUUCAUUAGAGGGUAAGUCUGGUGCUACUAGCUGUGGUAAUUCUAGCUCCAACAGUUUAUAUUUAAGUUGUUGUAGUUAAAAAGCUCAUAGUUGGAGCUAGGGUUGGGUUGUCCAAUCUACAUCAUAAUGAGCAUCAUUUUACUCAUCUCUAUUACCGGUGAUCUAUUCCUAGCCUUUACUAACUAGGUUGUUCAUCCAAUGCUGUUACUUUGAAGAAAAUUAUGGGGCUCAAAGUAGGCCUACGGUUGUAUACAUUAGUAUGGGAUAACAUCAUAGGAUUUUGGUUCUAUUGUGUUGGCCUUCGAGAUCGGAGUAAUGAUUAAUAGGGACAAUUAGAGGCAUUGAUAUUUCAUAGUCAGAGGUGAUAUUCUUGGAUUUAUGAAAGACUAACAAUUAUGAAAGCAUUUGCCAAUGAUGCUUUCAUUGAUCAAGAAAGAAAAUUUGAGGCUCAAAGAUGAUCAAAUACCAUCAUAGUCUUAACCAUAAACAAUGCCAACCAGGGAUCAACGGAUGUUACUUUUAAAACUCCAACCAUGAACUUUUGAGUUUUUAAAUGCAAGUUGCACCCCAAGCCAUUAAGGUGAGGGCAUGCCUGUCUGGGUGUCAUGCAUCGUUACACCCUCUAACCCCAUGCCUAUGGGGCUCUAGUUGAAGGGGUGAAAGAUGGCCUCCCGUGAUUUUGUUGAUCGUGGAUGGCCCAAAAGUGAGUCCCUAACAAUGAUAGACUAACACCAGCACUUACAUUUAGGGCUGGCUUAAUUAUGCCAAACCUAAACACCGUGCCUAAUUCUCUGGAGUAUUGAUCAUUGCCCAUACCACUGUUCUGGGCUAGUUCUCCAUGACCUAGGCCUCCAAUAGACCUCAAGGCCUAGUCUCCCUGACUGUUAGAUCUAUCCCACUAGAACUAGAAUUGCUCUUCGACUUGGAAAGAACCUCUGAUCCUCGAUGAGCUUGUGAAUUAUGACACAUGCACAUGCCUUGAUAGCCAUUUGGACAUGUUAGCCCUUGGUCUCGAUACAUGCUACGACCACCAUUGACACAUGUUGGCUUUUUGUAUGGGUAGUUCCUUUGAACACAAUCGAUAAAUGCUGGGUAGCAUACCACGUGAGUGUAUCUUUAGCCUUGGCCUUACACCAUGUACACCACGACUGGGCAAUAGGUGGGUUUAAGCAUAUCUUCAUAUUUUGCCAUGCCAAUGCCAUUUUUAUGGCUU
rnacentral:rRNA from 1 species